UCGCUCUAUUAGACAACCUAUUUAUGCAUGUUGAGUGCUUGAUCAUGUUUAUAGAUGACAGAGAAGUUUCCUAGAAUGAUACAAUUGUUGUAUUUCUGUUCACUCACUCUGCUUGAUCAUGUUACUGAUUAUUUAUUGUUCUCCCGUUCCAACGCAUGGGCAUGUUUGCUAUCGCAACACAUAGACAUAUUUGAGAAAGAUUAUUGCUCCACGGAGAAGAAUGUGCGGCGAAUUUUCCUUUGCAAAAUUAUUUUUGGUGAUAAGGAUUUCUUUUCUCCCGUUGCAAAGCACGGGCCAGUUUGCCGGGUUCACCGUCGCGCAUUUUUUUCAAAAAAGUCCCUGCAGUUUCUGCUAUUCAACCCGCAGUCCUUUCGUAAGUGGAUUUCUGAGAAAAUGUUUCAUUUUACAAAAAAAAAAACUAUGUUAAACCAAAACGACCAAACCAAUCCUCUGCCUCCUCCCCUGCUCUCGCCUCGCCCGCACAACCCCACCCAAUCCCUCGCUCACUCGACCAGAUCCAAGACGGCAGCGGCGGCCGAGAGCGGACCGUGUGGGAGGAGGAGUUCGGCGAGCGCGAGCUGAAGGUGGUCGCUGUUCUCGCGGAUCUGCCAUCCAUCAUGCGGGUCAGCAGCCGCCAGCAGCAGCUGGCGCGGCCGGAGAUCCCCUCGUGGGGCCGACGCCGGCCGAGGAAGGCCCUGGCGGCACCGCCGGCCGAGAAGCCCGCGGCCGAUGACGAUAUGAGCGAGGGCAUCGCCAGCCCGGACACCCCGCUCGCCUUCUCCGAGGGCGACGACCACGACGAGGCGGCGGCGGCGGAGGACGAGGCCAAGGCCAGCGCGCAGGACAAGGUGAGCCGCCAGGCCACGAGAUCAGCGCCCGCCCGCCUCCCUCCGCCAAUUAGGGCCGCGGGGAGGUGGCUGCUCUCACUCCUGCCUAACGCUCGCCUCACGCGCGAAUAUGGACAAGGUUGUUAGAUGGAAGGACAAGGCGGCGGCGGUGGAGACGGGGAGUCGAUUAGGAAGGAAAAAAGAGUUUGUGCAACUGCUGCUCAGUGCGAAAAACAGAGGUAAAUAAAUUUAUUGUUCAGGUGGCGAGAUUUAGUCUCCCUUCUUUGUAUUCAACGGUGAACUACUGAAUGGUGUUGAUAAAUUCAUGGCAUGACCGCAUGAGUUGUCGAGGAGGACGUCAAAGUGUGGGAGGUUGCAGCCUUGCAGGAGAUUAGCCUUACCUUGGCAAAUUAGUUUGCGGCCCUAAAGCUGUAUGUUUGCUUAAUCUGAAGUGUGCACAAAUAUUUGUGUUUAAUGAGUGAAAUGUAUCCGUUUGACUGACAUGAACCUUCAGGAAAGACAGAUCCUAGGUUGGCUUCACUUGGUAGUAACUAUGGAAACCUCAAGAAUGUUGUUGACGUCCUGAAGGCUUUUGAGUUGUAUUGUCAGGUCCCUCCGUUACUUAAAACCAACAAGGAACUUUAUCAUUUUUCCCUGACACUGUAAGCUUGAUAGAAUACACUGUAUGCCACCACAUGUUGUGUUAUUACUUUCAUCUGCUUUUCUUAAAAUGUGUGUGACGAUUGUCGCUAACAAUGUCGGAAAGAUUCCAACAGAAAAUAAAUUUCUCUAUAGUGAACCCUCUAAUCAAAAAGAAAAGAGAAUCACUUAUUCAUCAUUGAUUAAAUCUAUUUACGAGUUAUAAUUUUUUUGUUGAUAAUCUUCAGUGUAAACUCUAUUAUCUUUUGCUUCAUUGCCAGGUUUAUGCACUUUUCCCAUGGUAUAAUAUACGAAACAAAAUCAAUUUAUUGGAUCACAAUCAUAUCUGGAAGUAUCUGCACCACUGUAAGCGAUCUUGUAUAGUUCGAAUGUUACAUUUCACUUUAAUUGCUUUGAUGAAUGUGUGGACUAAGAAAAUUUUAGUUUCUCCUGUCAUCAAUAAAUGUUAUAAGAUUUAGAUUAUUGAAUUCAGUAAAAAUUCAAAACAUAUGAGAGCACUAACCAUGUUUCGGCUCCUUGACUGAGGAUGUACGAACUUGCAAAAAGCAUGAGCGUAGAAGCAAAAGAAGGAGAUUAUUGAAGGGGAUUAAGCUUCCAAGUGCGGCAACUAGGAACAUCUCGAUCGGUGAUUUGAAGUGUGUUCUUCAAUAGCACGGUGCAUGGAUACUUGCAUGUGUUCUCCCGAUGCAACACACGCUACUUAAUUAGUCAUAGAACUACAUACAAGCCUCUGAUGCCAAAAAGUUGUUAUUUAAGCACAUAUUUUACUGGAUUUUAUUCUGUAUGAAAAAACGUAAAAAAUGCCUCUACACACCAUGGCUGUCGGCAUUACGGCACUCCAAUCAGCAUCUCUUGGUAAUCUUUUAGGAUCACCAAUGUAUGUUUUAUGAUAGGUUUUAUCAGGCAUGAAGGUGGCAUGGGCCAGCAAGGAGUCUGGGGGUUCAGCAGGACAUCCUUGCCGGAGUAGUCGAGCAGAGGCUGACACUGGCCAAUAUGAGCAGCAUUGCCGCAGAUCGCCUCCAUGUGGGCUGCUGUUGCAAAGUCACUGUGCUGCACCUCAGCAAAUUCAGUAGGAUGUGUUCAGCCACUAUCAGACUUUGGUGGUAUGCUCUGGCUGCAAAACUAUGCUCUUCCAACCUACCGGUGGAAAGGGGAGGCUCACCAAGGGAUGCCUUAUUAUGGAAAAAAUGAAGCCCUUCUUAAGAUUGUUUACUACUACUUAUCCUCGAUGUGGGGAGACCAACCAAAAGAGUGAUUAAAAAAUAGUGGGAGAAGCAGAAAAAUGAAUCAUGAAGACGGGACUGAUCCUUGGUUUUCUGGAAGGCCACAAGCGCCCCCUUGGGAUGCAAUAGAGUACAAUCAACUCAUUUCUGCAUGACCAUUGUUGCCACUACUAGAGCAGUACACGAGCAUAGGUUCUUAUGACACAACCACACAUGCAGGGAUACCAUGGCAAGUUGCAACAAAGGGGGCUAUCGGUGAUAGAUAUGCGAGAGACCAACUUCAAGUAGCAAAUGUGGAAAAUCAAGGACCAUCAUGCAACACGUGGCAACAGGUGGCAACCGGAUACCUGCCAUCAACGUCUUACACAGUUGAGAUGUAAGAAAUGGUCUUGCGCACAGGCUAUCAGAAAAGGAAACUGGAUAACAUUGGUGUUUACGUGGUGUGACGAAAAUGAAAAAUAGAUGACAUUGGCGUUUGUAGCUGAUAUAAAUCAAAAAAAUGAUGAAAAGUGCACCUGCCAAGCCUGGUCAACUGUAUUUGCCAUCCGUGGACAACUGCAUGUGCCAAAUUAAAUGUAUGACUACCAUUUUCCAUGCGUGAUUACACGUAGUUGCCAUGACUGCUCAACUGCAGUUGCCAUGUCUGAACAAUUGCAGUUUCCAUGACUAAACAACUACAUAUGCCAUGUUUUAA